UACGUAGGUGGCAAGCGUUGUCCGGAUUUAUUGGGUUUAAAGGGUGCGUAGGUGGCCCUGUAAGUCAGUGGUGAAGUAUCUCAGCUUAACUGAGAGGGUGCCAUUGAUACUGCAGGGCUUGAGUACAGAUGAGGUAGGCGGAAUUGACGGUGUAGCGGUGAAAUGCAUAGAUAUCGUCAAGAACACCGAUAGCGAAGGCAGCUUACCAAGCUGUAACUGACACUGAGGCACGAAAGUGUGGGGAUCAAACAGG
rnacentral:rRNA from 1 species